GGGAUGGGGGGAGUGGAAGACUGUAAAGGUGAUUAGGGACUAUGCUGAGGAGAAGCUGCAUCUUAUGUGAGACUAGAGGAGGCCACCCCUGCAGUAGACUGGUGGCCUACACAGGCUGGUAGUAGCUGCAGCUUGCGUAUGGGAAUAAAGAGAGAGAAGUGAAUGCCAAGGAAAGAGCCAGCAGAUCAGGAUCUCCCUGCUACUCACACUGUGAAGACAGAAGCGAGAAAGAGCCACUUUGCGUGUGGCUGGCUUCAGAAGUCAGAACAGGCUGGGGAGGUUCCUAAGGUGAGUGCUAAAGUCCCAGUUCAACUUCCUUCAUUAUCAUAUGGCCUCCAAGUCUCCCUGUCCUGGGUUUUUCUGGUCAGCCAGCUCCAUUCAACAAAUGCGCUGAUGUCAGCUGUGUGCUGCGCACCAGGAAUGCGGGAAUAAAUGAACCAACAUGUCCAGUGUGCAUAUGGAACAGAACACUGAGGGUUUGAUAGAGUAAAAGCAGAAGCCAGAAGAGGCCUAA
rnacentral:lncRNA from 1 species